UGCGUAGGGUGCGAGCGUUAAUCGGAAUUACUGGGCGUAAAGCGUGCGCAGGCGGUGCGCCAAGCUCGAUGUGAAAGCCCCGGGCUUAACUCGGAAAGGUCAACUGAUACUGUGCGGCUAGAGUGCAGAAGGGGCAACUGGAAUUCUUGGUGUAGCGGUGAAAUGCGUAGAUAUCAAGAGGAACACCUGCGGCGAAGGCGGGUUGCUGGGCUGACACUGACGCUGAGGCGCGAAAGCUAGGGGAGCGAACGGG
rnacentral:rRNA from 1 species